rnacentral:tRNA from 1 species
GCAGCUGUCGUCCAACAGUAGGACCCAAGAGCGCCACUCUUGAGAUGCGGGUGCGAUUCCCGCCGGUUGCU